CUGUCAAACAACACAGUAUAUUGAUGACUUUUUUACAUUUGCUCCUGAUUUUAUCUAAAUGAAUAGCUCCGUCAUACGCGUACAUAGACUUUCCUAUAUUUUGCUCAACCUGAGAAAAUAUAUCACUGAUCAUUAUAUUGAAUAAUAACGGACUACAUACACUACCUUGUGGAGUUCCAUUAUCCACUGUAUAUACAUUUGAAUAUUCUGCAUCUACUCUUACCUGUAUUUUCCUGUCAAAUAAAAAGUCCUUCACCCAAUUAUAUGCUCUA